GACGAACGCUGGCGGCGUGCUUAACACAUGCAAGUCGAACGGAAAGGCCCUGCUUUUGUGGGGUGCUCGAGUGGCGAACGGGUGAGUAACACGUGAGUAACCUGCCCUUGACUUUGGGAUAACUUCAGGAAACUGGGGCUAAUACCGGAUAGGAGCUCCUGCUGCAUGGUGGGGGUUGGAAAGUUUCGGCGGUUGGGGAUGGACUCGCGGCUUAUCGGCUUGUUGGUGGGGUAGUGGCUUACCAAGGCUUUGACGGGUAGCCGGCCUGAGAGGGUGACCGGCGACAUGGGGACUGAGAUACGGCGCAGACGCCUACGGGAGGCAGCAGGGGGGAAUAUUGCACAAUGGGCGGAAGCCUGAUGCAGCAACGCCGCGUGCGGGAUGACGGCCUGCGGGUUGUAAACCGCUUUCGCCUGAGACGAAGCGUGAGUGACGGUAAUGGGUAAAGAAGCACCGGCUAACUACGUG
rnacentral:rRNA from 1 species